UGGGGAAUAUUGCACAAUGGGCGCAAGCCUGAUGCAGCCAUGCCGCGUGUAUGAAGAAGGCCUUCGGGUUGUAAAGUACUUUCAGCGGGGAGGAAGGGAGUAAAGUUAAUACCUUUGCUCAUUGACGUUACCCGCAGAAGAAGCACCGGCUAACUCCGUGCCAGCAGCCGCGGUAAUACGGAGGGUGCAAGCGUUAAUCGGAAUUACUGGGCGUAAAGCGCACGCCGGCGGUUUGUUAAGUCAGAGGUGAAAUCCCCGGGCUCAAACUGGGAACUGCAUCUGAUACUGGCAAGCUUGAGUCUCGUAGAGGGGGGUAGAAUUCCAGGUGUAGCGGUGAAAUGCGUAGAGAUCUGGAGGAAUACCGGUGGCGAAGGCGGCCCCCUGGACGAAGACUGACGCUCAGGUGCGAAAGCGUGGGGAGCAAACAGG
rnacentral:rRNA from 1 species